rnacentral:rRNA from 1 species
UAGGGAAUCUUCCGCAAUGGGCGAAAGCCUGACGGAGCAACGCCGCGUGUGUGAUGAAGGUCUUCGGAUCGUAAAACUCUGUUAUUAGGGAAGAACAAAUGUGUAAGUAACUAUGCACGUCCUGAUGGUACCUAAUCAGAAAGCCACGGCUAACUACGUGCCAGCAGCCGCGGUAAUACGUAGGUGGCAAGCGUUAUCCGGAAUUAUUGGGCGUAAAGCGCGCGUAGGCGGUUGUUUAAGUCUGAUGUGAAAGCCCACGGCUCAACCGUGGGGGGUCAUUGGAAACUGGAAAACUUGAGUGCAGAAGAGGAAAGUGGAAUUCCAUGUGUAGCGGUGAAAUGCGCAGGGAUAUGGAGGAACACCAGUGGCGAAGGCGACUUUCUGGUCUGUAACUGACGCUGAUGUGCGAAAGCGUGGGGAUCAAACAGG